AGANCUNGUUUUACUUUGCCUUGAAAGGCUGCAUUGCAGAAGCUGGUGAGGUCUUAGGAAAACUUCAGCUAUGAAGGUCCUUUUUAUUACCUGUCUCCUGGUCAUCUUUCUCUUCCAUGUUGUCUCAGCGCAAACUGAAAGAUGUAAAGACCUGGGAGGUGAAUGCAAAGUCCCAUCAAGCACAAUAUGCCCCUAUGGAUACCUUCCGGAGAAUUGUGGCAUUAAUGGAGUUUGUUGUGCAAAGAAGCCCUUUACAACCCCAGCCUGUGAUGCACUGGGAGGGUAUUGCCAUGUUAAACUGAGUGAGGAAUGUCCUUCUCGCCAGUCUCUUCCAGCCAACUGUGGGAUUAAUGGAAAAUGCUGCAAACCACUUUCUGCUUGAAUUCGAUGGCCCUGAAUAUGCGAAUGUCACUCCUGGUUUCCUGAAGGUGCUUUAACCCAAGAAUGGUCUUUGUGUUAAGUAAGGCCUCAAUAUCUGAGUCAUUUGAUCAAUUCAUUAAACCUAGAUGAAAGUUAAGCUUCU
rnacentral:lncRNA from 1 species